rnacentral:rRNA from 1 species
UACGGAGGGUGCAAGCGUUAUCCGGAUUCACUGGGUUUAAAGGGUGCGUAGGUGGGCAGGUAAGUCCGUGGUGAAAUCCCCGAGCUUAACUCGGGAACUGCCAUGGAUACUAUUUGUCUUGAAUACUUUGGAGGUAAGCGGAAUAUGUCAUGUAGCGGUGAAAUGCUUAGAUAUGACAUAGAACACCAAUUGCGCAGGCAGCUUACUACACAGUAAUUGACACUGAGGCACGAAAGCGUGGGGAUCAGACAGG